rnacentral:misc_RNA from 1 species
ACACGCCAAACACACAGUUGUUAAUUCCAACUCUCCCCAGGAGGUUGAGGAGGGAAAGGAAAUCAUAUUUACCUAUGAUGUUGAAUUUCAGGAGAGUGAAGUGAAGUGGGCUUCCAGAUGGGAUGCGUAUCUUUUGAUGAGCGACGAUCAAAUCCAUUGGUUCUCAAUCGUCAAUUCAUUGAUGAUUGUUCUUUUCCUCUCCGGCAUGGUUGCAAUGAUUAUGCUCCGUACACUAUACCGUGAUAUUUCAAAGUACAACGAACUCGAAA